GUGUUGGUCAGUGUUUAUCUGUUGUUUAUUUUUUACCUGUUUAUCUCUCUGUCUCCACUUCACAUUUCCAGACUGCAGACAUUUAGAGCAGAACCUCCAGAGCCCAGCUGUGUGUCUAUGAAGAGCAACUAUUCCAUGGAGCAGCCUCAUAAUUUCAGUAAUGAAAGAAGCAGCACUGAUCUGAGACUGCAGACAUUCAGAGCGGAACCUCCAGAGCCCAGCUGUGUGUCUGUAAAGAGCAACUAUUCCAUGGAGCAGCCUCAUAAUUUCAGUUAUGAAAGAAGCAGCACUAAUGCAGCAUUAAUGCAAGUAUUUUUUUAGAAAGUGUGCUUAUGUAUUUUCUUGCACUCUAGUGUUUUUAAAACAAUAACCAGAUUCCCCUCUUGAGAGUCCAUCAGUCAGCCUACUAGAGUAUCAGUACACUUAAUGGAUAUCCCUCUCGAGAGCACAUCACUGCAUUAUGGCAAUAUUUUUUUUCAUAACUCUUAAGACUUUAAAUGUGCAAUUACUGAACCAUUAAAUGCUGGUCUUUUAAGUUAAUUAGAUGCAAAUUGGGUACAUGGAAAACUGUCUUUAC
rnacentral:lncRNA from 1 species